rnacentral:rRNA from 1 species
CACGUAGGGGGCGAGCGUUGUCCGGAUUCAUUGGGCGUAAAGGGCGCGCAGGCGGCUCGGCAAGUCGGGUGUGAAAACUCGGGGCUCAACCCCGGGCGUGCAUCCGAUACUGCCGGGCUUGAGGCAGGUAGGGGAGAUCGGAAUUCCUGGUGUAGCGGUGAAAUGCGCAGAUAUCAGGAGGAACACCAGCGGCGAAGGCGGCGCUCUGGGCCGGAACUGACGCUGAGGAGCGAAAGCGUGGGUAGCAAACAGG